GCUGGCGGCAGGCCUAACACAUGCAAGUCGAACGGUAACAGGAAACAGCUUGCUGUUUCGCUGACGAGUGGCGGACGGGUGAGUAAUGUCUGGGAAACUGCCUGAUGGAGGGGGAUAACUACUGGAAACGGUAGCUAAUACCGCAUAACGUCGCAAGACCAAAGAGGGGGACCUUCGGGCCUCUUGCCAUCGGAUGUGCCCAGAUGGGAUUAGCUAGUAGGUGGGGUAACGGCUCACCUAGGCGACGAUCCCUAGCUGGUCUGAGAGGAUGAACAGCCACACUGGAACUGAGACACGGUCCAGACUCCUACGGGAGGCAGCAGUGGGGAAUAUUGCACAAUGGGCGCAAGCCUGAUGCAGCCAUGCCGCGUGUAUGAAGAAGGCCUUCGGGUUGUAAAGUACUUUCAGCGGGGAGGAAGGGAGUAAAGUUAA
rnacentral:rRNA from 1 species